AUGCGACAGCUUUGGCUCAUCACCAACAUGAGGGCUCAAAAUGACACAUGGUUUGCAGAUUACUUGCUAAGGGUUGGCAAUGGAACUGAGGAUGUCGAUGAUCAAGGCAACAUACUACUCCCUGAAGACAUUUGUCUGCCUACUACAGGCGAGUUUGACGACUUGGAGAAGCUUAUUGACCAUGUGUUUCCGAGUCUAGAUGAAAACAUGUCUGAUUCAAAUUACAUGACAUGUCGCGCAAUACUUUCCACCACCAACGAAAAUGUCGACAAGAUAAACAUCCGCAUGAUAGAG
rnacentral:rRNA from 1 species